rnacentral:rRNA from 1 species
CGGGUGAGUAACACGUGGAUAACCUACCUAUAAGACUGGGAUAACUUCGGGAAACCGGAGCUAAUACCGGAUAAUAUUUUGAACCGCAUGGUUCAAAAGUGAAAGACGGUCUUGCUGUCACUUAUAGAUGGAUCCGCGCUGCAUUAGCUAGUUGGUAAGGUAACGGCUUACCAAGGCAACGAUGCAUAGCCGACCUGAGAGGGUGAUCGGCCACACUGGAACUGAGACACGGCCAG